UCUGUGUUGGUGUAGUGUAGUGUACUCAGGUGAAUAUCAUAUUCACCUGAGUACACUACACCAACACAGAAA
rnacentral:miRNA from 1 species